UAUUUUUAAUUGACAUAGACCAAGUCAUCUAGUA
rnacentral:tRNA from 1 species